GGCAGUGAGGUACAACAAGCUAUGUAGUUUUCUUUCUCCUAAACGGGAAGAAACACGGAGAGGAAGAAAAGUGUGCAUUUUCAGUUGCAAAUGGAGACGGGGGCACACCAUGUUCCCUGAAAUGAUUGUACCUCCCAUUGGUAAGAAUCAGGUAUUACACAGCAAGUGGGCACCAAUAUAUCAUUUCCUCAGUAGUCAUAACUGCAAUGGAUUUUCUUACAUCAGUAUAACCAAUUCACCAAAGAAGUUUGGUCAAAAUAUCUAAGAGUGUCUUACCAAUAAUCAGAUAAAAUUUCUUGGCUGGGUGCAGUGGCUCAUUCCUGUAAUCCCAGCACUUCAAGAGGCUGAGAUGGGAGAAUCACUUGAGCCCAGGAGUCGAGACCAACCUGAACUACAUAGGGAUAUACCACCUCUACAAAAAGAUUUUUAAAAAACUUAUCCAGGCCUGGUGUUUAAUUAUCCUCUCACCUGUGGUCCCAGCUACUUGGGAAGGUAAGGUGGGAGGCUCUCUUGAGUCUAGGAGGUCGAGGAGGCUGUAGCAAGCCAUGAUCUAGCCACUGCACUCCAGUCUGGGUGACUGAGUGAGACCAUGUCUCAAAAAAACAAAAACAAACAAACAAACAAAAAACUAAAAAGAAAGGACACAUUUUAUUGCAUUUAUUCAUCAAAAUAUGGUUAAUUUGUAAUACAAUAAUAUUAAUGUAACAAAACAAUUUAAAUUUUUCUUCUGUUCGAAGCAUCACGGAAUGUAU
rnacentral:lncRNA from 1 species